rnacentral:lncRNA from 1 species
ACAGUGGCAGGAUGGCUGGAAGGCUUGAUACAGAAACUCCAAAGAAGAAAGGUAGAUGGUAGUAUGAAAAUAUAAAAAAGAAAGAUAGUAGCACUAGGAUUAGAACCUCUUCUAGAUUUGAUGGAAGGCGUGCUAGGGUUAGUAUCUCUUUUAGACUUAUGGAGAAGAAAGAAGGAGAGAUGAGGACAGUAGCUUGGAGAAAAUUUAGGCAUUAGCUUGAUAGGAAGAGAGAAAGGGAGGAGCUUUGAUGGAUGAG